AAGACAACAGGCCAUGAACUGCAGGCUUGUUGGUGAAAAUGUUAAAGAAAAUUACCCAGAACCAUCAAUUUAUGAAGGAGAUGCUGUCUGGAUUCAUUUCCAGAAGAAAAUGAAACAAUAGAAGGAGAAUCUGUGGAAGAAGAAUAUGCCUCAUCUGGAAAGUUGAAGCAUAUUGAAGAUCAUUUGAAAACAACUGGGGAGAUGGAGACAGUUUCAAUAUGUCGACAAUACAUGCCAAAGGAUUGUCCGUGGGCUGCAAGGUGCAAGGUG